CUGACACAGGGAGGUAGUGACAAUAAAUAACAAUGCCGGGCUUUUAUAAGUCUGGCAAUUGGAAUGAGAACAAUUUAAAUCCCUUAUCGAGGAUCAAUUGGAGGGCAAGUCUGGUGCCAGCAGCCGCGGUAAUUCCAGCUCCAAUAGCGUAUACUAAAGUUGUUGCAGUUAAAAAGCUCGUAGUUGAAUUUCUGGUCUUGGACGGCGGUCUACCACAAUUGUGGUACGUACCAACUGUCCGAGUCCAUCCUCGGGGAAAACAUGCCUGUGAUUCAGUUCAUGGGUAUGGGAUCCUCGUCAUUUACUGUGAGCAAAAUAGAGUGUUCAAAGCAGGCUUAUGCCGUUGAAUACAUUAGCAUGGAAUAAUAAGAUAGGACCUUGGUCUAUUUUGUUGGUUUGUACUCCAAGGUAAUGAUUAAUAGGGAUAGUUGGGGGUAUUCGUAUUCAAUUGUCAGAGGUGAAAUUCUUGGAUUUAUGGAAGACGAACUACUGCGAAAGCAUUUACCAA
rnacentral:rRNA from 1 species